GUGAUUUCAAUACAACGAAGUGACUUUGUUCUUCUUUUUUUUCGAAUUUUCUCGUAUGUGUGUGUUCAUGCUUUUUGAACCAGCCUCAAGACCUCGUUCUAUCGAAAAUACGGUCUCACUUCUCUCGCAAGUACAUAUCCUGAAUUCGAGGAGGAAUAUGAUAGGGUCGACGGCACCAACUUGUACGUACAACGAGUGCAGAGGAUGCAGAUACAAAUGCAGAGCUGAGCAAGUCCCAGUCGAAGGCAAUGACCCUAUCAAUAGUGCUUAUCAUUAUAGAUGUGUUUGUCACAGAUAAUAAUGAUAAAUCUCUUAUUUUUUGCCUUUUCAUUGCAAUUUUUGUAUGACUUGAUUGCAUUUUUGUUUUUUUUUGAAUGAGAUGUUUUGGUCAGCAUUAUUGAUUAUUAGUUUGUUUUUCCUUUUUAACUGUUCAAAUUGUUAAAGUGUUAAGUUCAUUAGCCAAGAGUAUCUCAUCAAGCUUCAUAACCUUUACCUUGUGUGCAUGGGAUAAUAUGGUAAGCUCUUGUUGGUACGUGUUGGUGUUGGUAUUGGUGUCGUUGAUGAUGAUGAUGAUGAUGACGAUGAGGAUCGUGGAGAUGAUGAUAACAUUUGGGUGUUUAUAAACCGCAGGGAAAAUUCACAUGGUCCUGUGUGGUCCAAGUUUGAGACAUAAGUCAAGAAAAGAUCACAUGAGGGAACUAGAGUUGUUAUGUUUAUAAUUGUAGCCUUCCAUCUUUUGUUCUGGUACGUACAUAUUAUGACAAUAUGCAUUAAAGACAUUUGUUCUAUUAGGAUCAGUACAGUGUUACAAUUUGUUA